rnacentral:rRNA from 1 species
CUGGGCGUAAGCGUGCGUAGGUGGUUUUUUAAGUCCGUUGUGAAAGCCCUGGGCUCAACCUGGGAAUGGCAGUGGAUACUGGAAAGCUAGAGUGCGGUAGAGGGUAGUGGAAUUCCCGGUGUAGCAGUGAAAUGCGUAGAGAUCGGGAGGAACACCAGUGGCGAAGGCGGCUACCUGGACCAGCACUGACACUGAGGCACGAAAGCGUGGGGAGCAAACAGGAUUAGAUACCCUGGUAGUCCACGCCCUAAACGAUGCGAACUGGACGUUGGGAGCAACUUGGCUCUCAGUGUCGAAGCUAACGCGUUAAGUUCGCCGCCUGGGGAGUACGGUCGCAAGACUGAAACUCAAAGGAAUUGACGGGGGCCCGCACAAGCGGUGGAGUAUGUGGUUUAAUUCGAUGCAACGCGAAGAACCUUACCUGGUCUUGACAUGUCCGGAAUCCUGCAGAGAUGCGGGAGUGCCUUCGGGAAUCGGAACACAGGUGCUGCAUGGCUGUCGUCAGCUCGUGUCGUGAGAUGUUGGGUUAAGUCCCGCAACGAGCGCAACCCUUGUCCUUAGUUGCCAGCACGUAAUGGUGGGAACUCUAAGGAGACUGCCGGUGACAAACCGGAGGAAGGUGGGGAUGAC